UAUUAGAGGGAAGAAUAUGGGAACUCGUUGUAUGUGAUAGUUCGCUUUCACUUCAAUAUACCAAGUAUUUCCCCAACAAUGUUAUCAAUAGCAUCACUUUGAAAGAUGCACUUGUGACCAUAAGUGAGGAUUUACGUGUACCUUGCCAGAAAAAGUUCGGUUCUUCAGGUCACAAAUGCAAAUCAUAAUCACGAAGGCACGUAAAGAGCUUGGCAUAAAGCCAGUUCCAAGCAAACGGUCUAUCACUGUUACUUUGGUUGGAAGAACGUUAUGAGAGUGUAUAUAUGCGCCAUCCGGUUUUUAAAAAGGUUCCAAGCCA